UACAGAGGGGGCAAGCGUUAUUCGGAAUUAUUGGGCGUAAAGGGCGCGUAGGCGGCCUUGCAAGUGACGGGUGAAAUCCCUCGGCUUAACCGAGGAACUGCCUGUCAAAACUGCGUGGCUUGAGACCAGGAGAGGUGAGUGGAAUUCCCAGUGUAGCGGUGAAAAUGCGUAGAUAUUGGGGAGGAACACCAGUGGCGAAGGCGGGGUCUCUGGGGCAGUAACUGACGCUGAGG
rnacentral:rRNA from 1 species